GAGGAUAUAGCUCAAUGGUAGAGCACGUGCUUAGCAUGCAGGAGGUCCUGGAUUCAAUCCCCAGUACUGCCA
rnacentral:tRNA from 1 species